CUACGGGGGGCUGCAGUGGGGAAUAUUGCACAAUGGGCGCAAGCCUGAUGCAGCCAUGCCGCGUGUAUGAAGAAGGCCUUCGGGUUGUAAAGUACUUUCAGCGGGGAGGAAGGGAGUAAAGUUAAUACCUUUGCUCAUUGACGUUACCCGCAGAAGAAGCACCGGCUAACUCCGUGCCAGCAGCCGCGGUAAUACGGAGGUGCAAGCGUUAAUCGGAAUUACUGGGCGUAAAGCGCACGCAGGCGGUUUGUUAAGUCAGAUGUGAAAUCCCCGGGCUCAACCUGGGAACUGCAUCUGAUACUGGCAAGCUUGAGUCUCGUAGAGGGGGGUAGAAUUCCAGGUGUAGCGGUGAAAUGCGUAGAGAUCUGGAGGAAUACCGGUGGCGAAGGCGGCCCCCUGGACGUAGACUGACGCUCAGGUGCGAAAGCGUGGGGAGCAAACAGGAUUAGAUACCCGAGUAGUC
rnacentral:rRNA from 1 species